UAUUCUAUUUCUAAAUGUAUUCUUUAACUGAAUUAAAGCUUUAGAGGAAACAUUCGAUUUAGAUUUUUGAGAGGUUUUUUCUUUGGGGACGUCGGAUUCCUGGGAAAUUGUGGACGGCGCAACUUCCGAAUCCUUUUUUCUUUUCAAACUUGAUCAUUUCGUACUUUUUGCACGCGAAAGACGAAUGAAACACGUCUGACGGGUUCCUUUCUCUCCCGCUCAGUGCUCACGAUCAGAUGCUUCACCUGCGACAAUGCGGAGGACGACAUCUGCAAGACGGUGGUGGAGUGCGACGCGGCGGCCAUAUACUGCAAAGCCGUCACCACAGCUGACGGGAUCAUUCGGACUUGUGAGGAGCUCUGCGCCGACGACAACAACACAACCUGCUGCCAAGAGGACGAGUGCGAGGUCUGAGGCCGAGGUCUGAGGCCGAGGUCCGAGGUCGAGGUCCGAGGUCGAGGUCCGAGGUCGAGGUCCGAGGUCGAGGUCCGAGGUCGAGGUCUGAGGUCGAGGUCCGAGGCCGAGGUCCGAGGACGAGACUCUCACGUUCUGAUUAAUCGCAGACGUGCGGGGAGACGGUUUUCUCACCUAAAUGAUCCCAAAUAUGAAGAAAGAUGAUUCAAUGUGACUACCCUGCUCUCCAUUUUGGCCUUCUGUCUUUGAUUUGAAGAAUCUGAAUUAAAAUCCAUAAUGAGUUCCCCUUGGUUGAUUUUGUCUCAUUAAUCAUUCCACAGUCUCCGGCACUGCGCGGCACAUAGUUAGUCACAGACAUCUUCUUAAUGAAUGAGCGCUAGAAGCAGAGCAAACACACACACGCAACGCACGCACACGCACUCACGCACACACACACACACACACACACACACACACACACUUAAUCCCUGUCUGAUGUCACUCAGUGGGUCACUGCAGCACUAACUGCUGCAGUAUGUGGGUCGUUGUCUGUCUCUGUAAAGCUGGACUCUCUAAAGGGAGUCGUCUUUUUCAAACUCAAUAAAAAUAGAAAAAUAAUAAAUCAGUGAAAUUGAUCUCACUAGUUUGUGUCCAUUCGCUACAAGGUCGUGGCAUGUGCACACUGUACGAGUUCCUCGCGGGUUUUAUCUGGCUGGAGUUAAACUCUAUAACAGUACAUGAUUUCACGAUUUGCUACCAUGCAAAAUUUUGGGCGCCAACAUAAGUGCAUAAUGUGUGAGAUUGAAAAGAAGCGACAACACAACACACAAGCUUAUUAAAACCCAUAGUUAGGUUUAAUCGCUCGGCAACAGAAGGACAUUAUGACAAGAACGAGGGAUGAAGUCAGGUGGCAACUGCGCACGCAACCCUUCAAGGAACGAAAUAUACGACUUUCUCACGGGGGUGUCCCGUUACCAGGGGACCUUACUGUUACUGUUCCCAUGACGACAGAGUAACACCCGCCGCUGACACAUUCCUGUUAGGGUUUACCAAAGGCACUGGACUCAGUAGCGCUAACACAGAGUUCAAGUUUUUUAAAGGAAAAUUGAUACGGUAAAUUGUGCAGAAGGCAGCCGACUAAAUAACAAAGAGUAUUCCAUCAAACGGGAGGUUCCAGGAGAGGGUCCAGGGGUUUUUCGCAGAGCUGGGGACGAAGCAUGAACACGACCAUGUGCAGUACGACGUUCUGGAAAAAGUAGCCCACAGUGGUCAGUCCACAAUCCUGACACAUUCCUGUGUCUGAGAGGGAAGCAACAAGCGAUUC
rnacentral:lncRNA from 1 species